ensembl:lncRNA
GGCACCUUUGGGAGAGCACGGUGCCCCAGGAGCCACCCGGCCUCUGCCUUCCCGUCUUCCCUCUGAGCCUGGCUGUGCCAGCUGCCUUGCUGGCCUUGGUGCUCUGUAGAAGUGGGGCCGCAGCCUCGGCCGGGAGUGCUGUGUCUGGUGACAGCCGCCUUUCUGCUCCUGGCCCCGUGCUGGCCUGCUAAAGGACUGAUGUCACAUCUGUGCUUGGACCAGGCCCUUCAGCCAGCUCUGGAGGAGUGAAGUAGGUCACACCUUCCCGCCCAUCCGCCAUGCCAGCCUGAAUCGC